AUUCUACUCCCUCCGUUCGGAAUUAGUUGUCGUAGAAAUGGAUGUAUCUAGAUGUAUUUUAGUUCUAGAUACAUCCAUUUUCAAGACAAGUAAUUCCGAACCGAGGGAGUACCUU
rnacentral:pre_miRNA from 1 species